rnacentral:tRNA from 1 species
GAGGCUAUAGCUUAGUGGCGAAGUGCCUGCUUAGCAUGCACAAGGUCCUUGGUUCAAUCCCAAGUACCUCCA